AUUGAACGCUGGCGGCAUGCUUUACACAUGCAAGUCGAGCGGAAAAAGGCCGCUAGGUGCUGGAGUGAGGGGCAGGGGUGUGUAAAGCGUCGGAACGUGUCCAGCCGAGGGGGGUAACUACUCGAGAGAGUAGCUAAAAUAGCAUACGCGCUCUGGGUGAGAGCGGGGGGGAGCAAGGGACCGCGCGCUUGCAGCGGAGCCUACGUGCGAUUAGGUAGUUGGUGGGGUAAAGGCCCACCAAGACGACGAUCCGUAGCUGGUCUGAGAGGACGACCAGCCACACUGGAACUGAGACACGGCCCAGACUCCUACGGGAGGCAGCAGUGGGGAAUAUUGGACAAUGGGCGCAAGCCUGAUCCAGCAAUGCCGCGUGUAGGAAGAAGGCCUUCGGAUUGUAAACCGCUUUAGGUCGGAACGAAACGGCUCUAGUUAAUACCCGGCUGUAAUGACGUUACCGUAAGAAUAAGCACCGGCUAACUUCGUG
rnacentral:rRNA from 1 species